rnacentral:rRNA from 1 species
UUGAAAGGGAAACGAUUGAAGUCAGUCGUACCUGCGGGUAAUCAGCCUUUUGGGCAUGAUUCUGUGGAGCGUGAGGAGUUAAACGCCUUCAUGCCUGCAUAUUCGUGUACAUUGGGUGUACUUGCCUGUGUGGUUAGUUAACACCAAUUUUGGUUAUCAUAAAAUGGUUGGAGGAAUGUAGCUUCGAUUUCGAUUGAAGUGUUAUAGCCUUCGGCAGAUGUGAUGAUCGGGAUUGAGGAUUGCAACGGAUACCCUUCGGGGCUACCUGUCUGGUCUCUGAUCGUUGCUUUGGUGCCGAAAGCGUGCUUACGGUUAUCAAAGUCGAUGGUCAAUAGGUUAGAACGGGUUAAAUUCGUUAAGGAUGUUGACGUA